UAUUGAUGAAUGGCUACAAUCAUUCUUAUUUUCCCAUUGUUGAUGCUGGUAUACAAAUAAAUAGCACAUAGAAGUUUUUGAAUUCUAAAUUAAUGAAGCAUGUAAAGCAGUUGAAGAAUGCCAAACCAGAAAUAAAAAACCGGUUUGCAUCUAAAAUGGUGAGAAUCAAACAUAUUCUACAAAAUGUUCUGUUCCUUUGAAGAUGUUGGAGCAUUCCUACAAAUAUCAUUCAUUUAAGAUUGUUAAUAACUAGUUACCAUGGAAUCAUGGCAAAAAUAUAGUCAAUCCACCAAAUGUCCAUUUUCAUAUCACCAAAGCACGUGAAACCACUAUCAAUCAAUUCCACCACCAAGUCCAAUUCACACGACGAGACGACGAUGCAAAAUGGAUGAACGUCCAUGUGCAUUCGCCAUCCAUAAAUUCCUUAAGAUGGAAUCGGCUUUUCGACGGUUUGGAUGCAAGCUGCCAUACCGACAGGAGAUAGAGAUUCCACGCAACGUAUCUCGACGGUGCCGAAAUGUUGGAAUCCAUUAUUCCCUGCCACAUGCAAAACGAGUAGCGAGGUUUUUAGCAACUCAAAAGUCAUAGGACCCUUUUGAAAUCUACCACUCCGUCUUUGGCUGAUCCCUUUAAUGUUGACCUAAAAUCUAGAACAGAGGGUAACUGGUCUGUCAUAUUUCAAACCGCACCUCCGCAUUCAAAUGUGCCGGUUUGGUGUUCGCUUCAUAUCUAUCUUGACGAAGGUUUUAGAUCAUUAGAAAUGUUCGAAAAUGGCGAUGUUAUUGGCGA
rnacentral:lncRNA from 1 species